AUUGAACGCUGGCGGCAUGCCUUACACAUGCAAGUCGAACGGCAGCACGGGAGCUUGCACCUGGUGGCGAGUGGCGAACGGGUGAGUAAUACAUCGGAACGUACCUUAUCGUGGGGGAUAACGCAGCGAAAGUUGCGCUAAUACCGCAUACGCCCUGAGGGGGAAAGCGGGGGACCGUAAGGCCUCGCGCGAUUAGAGCGGCCGAUGCCUGAUUAGCUUGUUGGUGGGGUAAAAGCCCACCAAGGCGACGAUCAGUAGCUGGUCUGAGAGGACGAUCAGCCGCACUGGGACUGAGACACGGCCCAGACUCCUACGGGAGGCAGCAGUGGGGAAUUUUGGACAAUGGGGGCAACCCUGAUCCAGCAAUGCCGCGUGAGUGAAGAAGGCCUUCGGGUUGUAAAGCUCUUUUGUCAGGGAAGAAACACCGGCUCUAACACAGUCCGGGAAUGACGGUACCUGAAGAAUAAGCACCGGCUAACUACGUGCCAGCAGCCGCGGUAA
rnacentral:rRNA from 1 species